rnacentral:lncRNA from 10 species
UCUCUCUGACUGCUGGAUGAAGAGUUUACUACAAGGAUGACAAUAUAAGCAGAGACCUGUUAGGAGCUUGUUGUGCUUGUCCAGGUGACAGAUUGUGAUGGGCUAGGUGUGAAGCCACUGGCGGAGUAUCCAGGGGCCGAGGGCUGAUGCAUUUCUCCUCAUCCACCUCACUCUGACCCCGGAUGCCAGUUAACCCAGGAGAGGUCCCUGAACACAACCCCGAUGCAAGCAAAGGUGGUGGACAAUACGGAGGAGGAUGAAGAGGCAUGGUCCACCACAACAGGUUGCCCAGAGAGGCUGUAGAGAGUUUAAAAGGAAGGAGUGAGAGGGAUCACCAGACCAUGAGGCAUCCCCUGUGGGAGGAAGGAGGAGCUCAAGGUCAGGAGAGCACUGUUCCCUGGGAGGCAUGGAAAUUAAGGCUCAAGAAGGUGACUUGCCCAAGACUUCAUAGCCCACAACUGCUGGAGGUGGGAUUUGAACUCGUCUGCGAGGUUCGAAAUCACCCCAGCCCAGUGCCUGCUCCUGACAGAGACUCAGCAAGUGCAGCUCUGCGUGUUUCCUCCAUCACAGAGGCCUGCUUAGGGGAAAAAUCUUGCUGAAGAAAAGUGGCCGAUGGUUUCGAGAGAAGAGACGCUUAUUCAUGUAAUUCUCAAGAAUCCCAUCUCCGGCUUAGAAGGACACCUUUUCUGAUUUCCCAUUCAAAGGGACUGACGUACACUCAGGGGCUGAGGCAGCAGCUGUUUUUGCUGUGCACAGACUGGAGAGCGAUGUGUGAGUGAAGUCUGUGGCCACUUCUCUCCUCCCCCGAGCCUUCUGGGGUUUGGGUUUAUGACUCCAGAGGCGGAGAAGCGUGUUCCCUUUCUGUGCGGAUCCCGUCAUUGACAGAGUCUGUUUUAGAAGAGCAUUUUUAGAUGGCAGCGAACGUUCCAGACCCCAAAGCAUUCUCUUUACAGCACCGUCUAGCUUGGGUGGGGAUAGGGUGGGUUUGUGAACACGUGUGUGCGUGAGAGUGUGAGUGUGUGCAAGUGUGUGCACGUGUGUGUCAGUCCCUCUGUCUGGCUCCCACUGCUAGCCACCUCUGUCAUAUCCUGACUAUUUCGCCGGGGCAUCGUCCAGCCAUAGGAAUCUUCAGCAAACCUACAGUUCAGACGAACGCCCUCGUUUCUGCCCUGAGAAGAAAGUCCGUUGAGUCUGAGGGCUCCCGAGUCAUUCUCUCAAGGCAUUCAUUCAGUUUUGUUUCCCCUGGUGCUACCCUCUCUGAAGUCGUUAUUACUCAUUAGGUGUAUUGCACAUACAGAAAAAGUAGGUCAAGGAUUAAAAAAAAAAAGAAAAAACAUCUCUGGGAGAAGCACAAGUAUUGUGUAAAGCUAUUUUGAACUUGCGUGAGAUUUUUCAAGGGGGAAAUGUUUUGUGCAGAGACGGCUGCUGCCACAGCUGACUUACCAAUGAAUGCCCGUGUCUGAGCCUUUCAUACGCUAACCACGUGACCUUGGAAUUCCAUUUUGAAAUGAUAAUUGUGCCCAGUGGGGUGAGCAGCCUCUCAAUCCAGGUUCUAUACAAUAUAGGUCACCUCGAGGAUCCUCAGUAGAACAGGAACAAGAGAAUCCUGAGAAAUCUCUGUAAAGAAACAGAAAGAAUGAGAGAGAAAACUGUGUGUCUAACCACCGGGCCCCUGGGCCCUAUGUGCCACCCAGGUUUGGAGCAAGGCUGCGGGGCAGAUGAUGUCCAGGAGAGCCUCAGAAAGUCCGGGCUCUAGAAAAAAAUACGUUCCAGCUCACUCUGCUCUGACCCUGCAUCUGCUCUGUGCUGAAAGCUUUGUUGCUGCCAUGAAUAUAUUUAAGGGGAAUAAAAUGUGCAGUGUCAAAGCGACUGGCUUGAAGUGGGCUGGAUGCAUCCUAGGCUCCGCGAGGGAAAAGGCCUCUAGCUGGCAGUUGACAGAAGGGGGAAGGCAGUGAGGAGUGGGCCCACCCACGGGAGUCUGGGCAUGAGGCGGGUCCUGGUUCCCAGGCUGCCCCGUGGGAAUAUGCUCCAUGGGCUGGGGCUGCUGUGCUGGCUGCUCUUGCCCCCAGGGGGUCACUACGCUGGGCUUCUCCAUCAGGGCUAUCACGAUAUUGCCCAGGGUUUACAGGUUUACAGGCAUUAUCUCACUCAGUGUUGUUUUGCUCCCUUUCACAAAGAAAGGAAGGAAAAGAGAGGCAGGGGGUGAGAGAGGAAGCCAGACUAGCAUUCAGCUCUGCUAGUUGUUCCUCGCCUGGGUUAGGCUUCCCUGGAAAGUAGCCUGCAU